GCGAAUACCGGAGAAUGUUAUCACGGGAGACACACGGCGGGUGCUAACGUCCGUCGUGAAGAGGGAAACAACCCAGACCGCCAGCUAAGGUCCCAAAGUCAUGGUUAAGUGGGAAACGAUGUGGGAAGGCCCAGACAGCCAGGAUGUUGGCUUAGAAGCAGCCAUCAUUUAAAGAAAGCGUAAUAGCUCACUGGUCGAGUCGGCCUGCGCGGAAGAUGUAACGGGGCUAAACCAUGCACCGAAGCUGCGGCAGCGAACGUAUCACCCAAGACAACUUUGCGGAGUUGACGAUUGACGGAGCGAAGCGACGUCAAAGCGUUCAUUAAAGUCGAGUUGGCUUAGGGAUACGUUCGUUGGGUAGGGGAGCGUUCUGUAAGCCUGUGAAGGUGUGCUGUGAGGC
rnacentral:rRNA from 1 species